rnacentral:misc_RNA from 1 species
CAAGACACAGUUAAAUUUUUAUUUAAAAAAAAAAAACUAUCCAAAACAUACGAAGAAAAAAAAAAUAGUGCAAUAAAAAAUCAAAAUUAUGAUUCACAAAACACCAAAUCUCCAAAUUCAUAACAUAGGCAUCAUUCAAUAUUAAAAAGAAUCUCAUAAAUUAAAUUCAUAUAUUAUAACCACGGACAUAUCGAUCCAAACCACAUAAAUACAAUAAUAUGAGCUUAUAUCAAGGCUUACCUAUUAUAAUUGAGAAAGUGAGUAUACGGGUCCUACUGGAGCAGUGUAAAUGGGUGCAACAAUGGGUUGGGCUGAGAUUGGAACAACAUUGGGUUGGACCGAUUGCUGGAGGUG